AGCAGCCGCGGUAAUUCCAGCUCCAAUAGCGUAUAUUAAAGUUGUUGCAGUUAAAAAGCUCGUAGUUGAAUUUCGGGAUCAGUAUGUUGGUCGUGCUUCGGUACGUACUGUCAUUACUGGUUUCUACCUUCUGAAGAACCUUGAUGUCAUUAAUUUGGUGUCUUGGGGAAUCAGGACUGUUACUUUGAAAAAAUUAGAGUGUUUAAAGCAAGCAUACGCUUGAAUACAUUAGCAUGGAAUAAUGAAAUAGGACGUUUGAUUCUAUUUUGUUGGUUUCUAGGAUCGACGUAAUGAUUAAUAGGGAUAGUUGGGGGCAUUAGUAUUCAAUUGUCAGAGGUGAAAUUCUUGGAUUUAUUGAAGACUAACUACUGCGAAAGCAUUUGCCAAGGAUGUUUUCAUUAAUCAAGAACGAAAGUUAGGGGAUCGAAGACGAUCAGAUACCGUCGUAGUCUUAACCAUAAACUAUGCCGACUAGGGAUCGGAUGAUGUUAUUUUUAANGACUCAUUCGGCGCCUUAAC
rnacentral:rRNA from 1 species